CCCUUAGAGUUUGAUCCUGGCUCAGAAUCAACGCUGGCGGCGUGCCUAACACAUGCAAGUCGAACGCGACUGUCCCGCAAGGGACAGUUGAGUGGCAAACGGGUGAGUAACACGUGGGUGACCUGCCUUCGAGUGGGGGAUAACGUCCCGAAAGGGACGCUAAUACCGCAUGACAUCCUGCUCUUGGACGAGCGGAGAUCAAAGCUGGGGAUCGCAAGACCUGGCGCUUGAAGAGGGGCCCGCGCCUGAUUAGCUCGUUGGUGGGGUAACGGCCUACCAAGGCAACGAUCAGUAUCCGGCCUGAGAGGGCGGACGGACACACUGGGACUGAGACACGGCCCAGACUCCUACGGGAGGCAGCAGUGGGGAAUUGUUCGCAAUGGGCGCAAGCCUGACGACGCAACGCCGCGUGGAGGACGAAGAUCUUCGGGUCGUAAACUCCUGUCGAGUGGGAAGAACACUUCCCGGGUGAAUAACCCGGGAGGCUGACGGUACCACUAAAGGAAGCCCCGGCUAACUCCGUGCCAGCAGCCGCGGUAAUACGGGGGGGGCAAGCGUUGUUCGGAAUUACUGGGCGUAAAGGGCUCGUAGGCGGCCAACUAAGUCGGAUGUGAAAUCCCCAGGCUCAACCUGGGAACUGCAUCCGAUACUGGAUGGCUUGAAUUCGGGAGAGGGAUGCAGAAUUCCAGGUGUAGCGGUGAAAUGCGUAGAUAUCUGGAGGAAUACCGGUGGCGAAGCGGCAUCCUGGACCGACAUUGACGCUGAGAGCGAAGCUAGGGAGCAAACGGGAUAGAUACCCCGGUAGUCUA
rnacentral:rRNA from 1 species